rnacentral:rRNA from 1 species
UACAGAGGGUGCGAGCGUUGUCCGGAAUCACUGGGCGUAAAGGGCGCGUAGGUGGUGGCUUAAGCGUGCGGUGAAAGCUCGGGGCUCAACCCCGAGUCGGCCGUGCGAACUGGGCUCACUGGAGCAUAGUAGAGGCAGGUGGAAUUCCGGGUGUAGCGGUGGAAUGCGUAGAUAUCGGGAGGAACACCUGUGGCGAAAGCGGCGCACUGGACCACAACUGACGCUGAGGCGCGAAAGCUAGGGGAGCGAACGGG